rnacentral:misc_RNA from 1 species
GGGCGCGGAGGGGAGGCG